UGUUUGUCCCUAACCCAGUCCGGUCCCGGGUCCUGGAAUGGGCUCAUUCCUCCAGGCUGACUUGUCAUCCAGGGUCCCGUUGUACACUAGCCUUACUUCGACAACGUUUCUGGUGGCCCGCAAUGGUUCCUGAUGUCUCUGCCUUCGUCACCGCAUGCACUGCGUGUGCUCAAAACAAGACUCCAUGGCAAGCUCCUUCUGGCCUCCUGCAGCUACUACCGGUUCCUCAUCGUCCCCGGUCUCAUAUAUCUCUGGACUUUGUCACUGGGCUCCCUCCGUCUGAUGGCAACACUGUCAUUCUGACGGUAGUCGACCGGUUCUCCAAGACCGCCCAUUUCAUCCCUCUCCCCAAACUACAUUCUGCCAAGGAGACGGCCCAGUUUAUGGUGCAGCAUGUCUUCUGGAUCCAUUGCUUCCCGGUAGACAUGGUCUCCGAUUGGGGUUCUCGUCUCAGUUCUGGAAGGCAUUCUGCACCCUUAUUGGGUCGUCGGCCAGCCUGUCAUCCAGAUUCCAUCCCCAAACUAACGGUCAGUCGGAGCGAGCCAACCAAGACCUGGAGACCACCUUAAGGUGCCUGGUCUCAACCAACUCACUACCUGGAGCUGUCAACUGGUCUGGGUGGAGUAUGCCCAGAACUCUCUUCCCAGUUCUGCCACGGGACUCUCCCCUUUUCAGUGCUCUAUGGGGUAUCAGCCUCCACUCUUCCCUGAACAAGAGCAGGAGUUCAGCGUACCCUCUGCCCAGAUGUUUGUCCACCACUGUCGACGUACCUGGAGAAGAGCCAGGGCGGCUAUUCUCAAGACCAACUCCAGGUAUCGUCGACAAGCAGACUGUCGCCGGACCCCAGCUCCCCGCUACCACAUUGGGCAGAGGGCCCAUCCCUCCCCCCGGGUUAUUGGUAGGCAGCCAGCAUAUACGGUGAGACGCCUCUUGAACCCGGCCCUCAAUGCCGAUUUCCACCGCCGACACCCCGGUCAGCCAGGUAUGCACCCAGGUAGGAUGCCAGGUGGCGUCCCGGGGGGGGGUACUGUCACUGUUUCUUUUUGAUAGUCUUCCCGGUUUUGACCCCUGCCUGUCUCUGGACUACUUUCCCGCCUGCCUGAUCAUCCUGCCUGCUCUGACCUUGAGCGUGCCCUUGCCCCUGACCUUGAGCCGGUACCUUUUGGACUCUGAACUGGUUUUGACCCUUUUGCCUGUCCACUACCAUUCUCUUACCUUACAAUAUUUAUUAAUACAAUAGGGUAAGACUCCAACCAUCUGCCUCCUGUGUCUGGGUCUCGCUUUGUCAUGAUAAAAUCCUGACAUUUAAUCCUAGUAAAAAUUCCCUGUCUUAGGUCAGUUAGGAUCACCUUGAUUUUCAGAAUGUGAAAUGUCAGAAUAAUAGUUGAGAGGAUGAUUUAUUUCAGCUUUUAUUUAUUUAGUCACAUUCCCAGUGGGUCAGAAGUUUACACACACUCAAUUAGUAUUUGGUAGCAUUGUCUUUAAAUUGUUUAACUUGGGUCAAACGUUUUGGGUAGCCUUCCACAAGCUUCCCACAAUAAGUUGGCUGAAUUUUGGCCCAUUCCUCCUGAUAGAGCUGGUGUAACUGAGUCAGGUUUGUAGGCCUCCUUGCUCGCACACACUUUUUCAGUUCUGCCCACCA
rnacentral:lncRNA from 1 species